CACCAGAAUUCCAUGGUUUUGGAGCAGGAUCCAGACCGGUCCAUAGGUGUGGAGGAGGUCACCAGAAUUCCAUGGUUUUGGAGCAGGAUCCAGAUCCAAACCUUCUCCUUUGUUUCCAGGUCCCGUUGUGCGAGGCCAGCUCUCCAGGCAGCUCUCCAGGCACUGCAGCCUUCCAGGGAGCUCCUGGCUCAGCCUUCCCGUUCCCGAGCCUUCGGAACCGGAGCAGAGCCCCAAAAAACCCAUGUCCUCUUCUGAGCCCAUCCUGGACCUCAAGGGAGACACGGCAGAAGCACUUCCAGAGAACCUGGGAGGAGCAGGGGAUCCGAGCUCCUGCCAGCCAAGGGACACUCCAGGGAAUGGACAAUCCAUGGAGCACACGGAACCAACACCAGCAGCCCUCGAGGACGCUGUGGAGCCGAAGGAGAACCCCGGGACGGGGCAGGACCCGUCCAACCCCGGGAAUUCUCUUGGAACCUCCGUCCCUGCGGAGCCCAUCCCAGCCCCACCCUCGGAGGAGCCCAUCCCCAGCAGAGACCCUCAGGAGGCGAAGGAUCCCAGCCCCACCAGCUCCCCGCCGUGGCCAGCGGCUCCCGAGGAGCCCCCGGCGCGCCCCAACACCCUGGACUUCUCCAAAGGUGGGAAGGAGCUGGAGGAGGCGAGGCAGGCGGGGCAGCGGCGCGGCAGCGACCGGGCCGCGGUCAAGGAGAACGGCGUGGAGCCGGCUCCGGCCACCAGCACGGCCAGCAGCGAGGAGCGCCGGGCUCUGCAGUCCGAGCUGGGCAGGUGCAUCGAGGAAUUCCGCAGGAUCAAGAUCCCGCACGCCUUUCCCAACAAGAAGCGGCAGUGGCAGAGCGAGCUGCUGAAGAAGUACCAGCUGUGAGAGCAGAUCCCACUCCCGUCCCGUCGGGAAUGGGGAUCUCCAGGCGGCCGGGUGGCUGCUCCAGCCGUGGCACAGGCUGUCCACGCUCCCAAAAUGAGGAGCAGAGGUGGCUGAUGAAGCCCAGGCAGAUGUGGAAAGGGUCACAAGCCUGUUCCCAGCACGGUCAUCGAGGGGAUGCUCAGUGGAGCUGGACGGGGUCAGACAAGGAAGGAUGUCCAGGGUGAUGUUUGGGAGCGGCAGAAAUUCCCACAUUUCUGAGACUGAAUUCCCCUGGUGUUUCAAACAAUAAAAUCGAGUUGGUGUCCA
rnacentral:lncRNA from 1 species